rnacentral:rRNA from 1 species
UUAAUUCCAUUUGGUAAAGCAGGGGACUGUAGGAACUGCCACCGUAAGGUGAGAGGAAGGUGGGGAUGACGUCAAAUCAGCACGGCCCUUAUGUCCAGGGCUACACACGUGUUACAAUGGUCGGUACAGAGGGCAGCUACCUGGUGACAGGAUGCUAAUCUCGUAAACCGAUCUCAGUUCGGAUCGAAGUCUGCAACUCGACUUCGUGAAGCUGGAUUCGCUAGUAAUCGCGCAUCAGCCAUGGCGCGGUGAAUACGUUCCCGGGCCUUGUACACACCGCCCGUCAAGCCAUGGAAGCUGGGGGUGCCUGAAGUCCGUAACCGAAAGGAGCGGCCUAGGGUAAAACUAGUGACUGGGGCUAAGUCGUAACAAGGUAGCCGUAA